UACUUUGUGCAGUGGCAGAAUCAUAGCCAAUGAGGUUUAUCCAAGGUGCAAUUAUUGCUAAUUGAAAACUUUUCCCAAUACCCUGUUGUGACAACUUGCAAUACAGUCAGCACUGGCAGUUUUUGACCAAUAGGACAU
rnacentral:snRNA from 1 species